GACGAACGCUGGCGGCGUGCUUAACACAUGCAAGUCGAACGGAGUGGCGGACGGGUGAGUAACGCGUCGGCAAUCUGCCCCUCAGUGGGGGACACCCAGCCGAAAGGUGGCAAUACGACCUGGUCUGAGGGAUGAGCCUGCGUCCGAUUAGCUAGUUUGUAGUUAACGACCGACCAAGGCGACGAUCGGUAGCUGGUCUGAGAGGACGAUCAGCCACACUGGAACUGAGACACGGUCGAGACCCCUACGGGAGGCAGCAGUGGGGAAUUUGCAGCAAGGGGCGCAAGCUGAGGGAGAAAAGCCGAGUGGGGGACGAAGGAUUGCGGUCUGUAAAGCCCUUUCAGUCGAGACGCGGUACCGACAGAAGAAGCAUCGGCUAACUACGUGCCAGCAGCCGCGGUAAUAC
rnacentral:rRNA from 1 species